CUAUGGCGUUUCAAACCUGUACAUGUAUGCCGAUAUGAUGUAUAUGAUCAUUUUGCAAUUCGAGCUUAAAUUCAAGCUGGUUUUCCCUUGUUUGAUAAUUUACAUAUUAAAAUGCGUAAUUCAAUUAAGGAGGUUAUAUAAACAGUUUUAUAUAUGUGUUUCCCAUUCUCUAUACACCUGUAAAGAUUCGGCAUGUAUUCUAGCAGGUUCGUACAUCGGGUUUUCGAUGAACUGAAUACAGAAGACAAAGCAAGAUAUAUUGCAAGAGAAAUAAUGGACUACUUUAAACCACCAUCACUGGAACAACACCGUGAAGGAGCUCUUGCUGUUAUUAUUAUAUCAAUUCUAGCUAACAUCUUUUUGUUCGUUGCUAUUUUAGCCACGAAAAAUAUUAAAAAAUCUUCUAAUGUAUUGGAAUUAGCCAGAGGAUUAUCCGAAGUGCUACUGUUAGUAUCAAUUACCUUACAAAGUACGAGGAACACAGUCAAUACCAAAGAAAUACCAAUGGCUGUGUCGGGAUUCGUUCUCUUCUGGCUAUUUUCUUUGUGGUCCGUGUGCUUUGGUCUGAUAAAAACUUUUACGGGAUUUCUGCAUUUUACGGGAAAACCUUUAUUCUCGCGUUCUUUUUGGUUGAAAAUCUCAAUCGUUUUCGUCAUUUCGACCUUUCUGGCAUUAAUUGUUUUGUGCGUCGUGUAUGUCGUUGAGGCUAUGGCUUUUGUUGUUUUGGUAUGCAUAGUUUACUAUCUACCUUUAGUGGGAAUGUGGAUUCUCGAUGGGCUGAGGAUCCUUCAUCUUAGAAAUCGUGAAAACAAAAACCAAACAAUCGAAAUGGAUACGAUACCCAGAGAUGAUCCAAAUGGCCGAGUAUUGAGGCUGUCGAAUCCAGAAGUACAAUUAAAUAGACCAAUGUCAAAUUUUGAUGUGUUUAUUGUAAUAUUGUACAGCCUUUGUCAUACAGUUUCCCUUGCUGUAGUGUCCGUGAUAAUUGCACGAAUUGCCAGUCAGUGGAUGUACAACAGACCCCCGUCGUUGCCGUUGCGUAAAGGACCCCAUUGGAAAUAAUCCAUUGGCUUUCAUGGGUUAUCCCUUGCUAAACAAGGUGGUGUAACGUGGACUUAGUCUAAAAGUUGUUGUAAAUCAGAAAUGUGGAUGCUUUCAACUCACUCUGACUUUAAGAAUUCUGUUUUACAAUACAAUUACACAUGGACUCAACAAUUUUGCAGAAGAAUUCAAGCCUGUAGUCUAGGUCCUUUACUGAUGAGUGUUCUGUUCUUUUCUUUUUUUUUUUUUUUACUUAAAUCAUAUCUAUAAUAAGAUCGAUGCCAAAUACAAAGGAACUGAAACAUCAGAGUUAAGCACACACACGUUAUCAUUCUCACAUCCGGGGCCGAACGGUAAAAGAGUGGACCCAGGAUCCACCCCUGAUGUUGACAGAAUGACAUUUAAUUACCUGUAAACCAUAAGAGUUUGCCUGUUAGUCUAGAAUCAUAACCUUUCCAAAUGAAAUAACCAUGC